rnacentral:rRNA from 1 species
UCCAUCAGCCCUUUCCUUUUAUUCUGAGUCUCUUCUUCUUCUAGUGACGUGUUAUUCUACCUUCUACUCUUAGACCGAUUAUUGAACAAUCAAGUGUAUCUACCACCUUAAGAUCUUUUGAUGUCGGUGCUUCUACAGUAACGUCUAAAAUAUUUGUUCUUCUAGCCUCUCAACUAACAUACACUCAUCCAGGUACAGAUUACAGAGACUGUGAAAACAUAAUAGAUUGAGUUAUCACUUUGUACCAACUUGACAUGAAACCAUGUAUAUAUAAUAUAUAUAUGUAUAGACGAUCGAGUUAGAACA